AACUCUCAAGCAAGGGAAGCCUUUUUUGCUAUCUUUUGUUUGGAUUUGGACUCUGCUGUGUCAAUGCGGCUGGUCUUAAAUGCAUUAGCUGGUCCUUAUGGGGGGAAGACUUUUUGGUUCUACUCAGCGUGAUAAUUAUCUAACGUUGAGGACAGUCUUUUAGGGACUGGCCAGAGUCUGCCUUUGGAUUGCUUCUAAUUGUCCUGAGACAUAUUAUUCAAU
rnacentral:misc_RNA from 1 species